rnacentral:misc_RNA from 1 species
GAUGAAGAACGUAGCGAAAUGCGAUAAGUAAUGUGAAUUGCAGAAUUCAGUGAAUCAUCGAAUCUUUGAACGCACAUUGCGCCCGCCAGCAUUCUGGCGGGCAUGCCUGUUCGAGCGUCAUUUCAACCCUCAAGCUCUGCUUGGUGUUGGGGCCCUACGGUUGACGUAGGCCCUUAAAGGUAGUGGCGGACCCUCUCGGAGCCUCCUUUGCGUAGUAACUAACGUCUCGCAUUGGGAUUCGGAGGGACUCUUGCCGUAAAACCCCCAAAUUUUCUAUUGGUUGACCUCGGAUCAGGUAGGAAUACCCGCUGAACUUAAGCAUAUCAAUAAGCGGAGGA